AUUCAGACUUAGCUGUUUUAAAAUUACACCAAGUUUAUUUCGGAUUAUUCCAACAGAAGAAUACAAGGCGCAGGGAACUUUAAGGUGCUGUGGAUCAUUUUCAUGAAAAAACAGUUGUUGCAGCCUCAAAUCUGAUGGAACCCACCGCCUCUGUCAGGGUUGGGUAGGAAGGCAGGACUCAAACGCAGACUUUAAAUUGGACACAGGUGUAAACAAUCCGACAAUCACAGGGGGAUGACAGGACCAGUUACACGGGGACACAAGUGGCAGAAAACUACAAAAUAAGACAGGAAGUGAACCACACCGUGACAGCCUCUCCCCUACACUGCCGCUGUAACAGCACGGCUUGUCUCUGGUGAGUCUGCUCGAUAGCGGUUUGUCGUAUCUUCGCUUUGCUUGGGCCCCUGCCUCGAACUGUGUAAGAAUCCUGUAAGAAAGGGUUCAACGUCUAGAAACAAAUUGAAAGUUUGGAUUGUUACUUUCCAAAUGUCACUGAAUUAGAGUAAAAUUUCCAAAUUACCUAGUUCAAUCAACUAGAGUUAUGGAAUUUGCCUCAAAAAAGUGUAGAGAAUACAUAAAAGCCAUAUCCUGGUCUUCAAGAUGCUUUUACACUACAUUGAGUCAACGUUGAGUUAUGCACACUCACAUUCAUAUACUGAUGGCACAGCCUUUGGGAUUAACGAAGAAUGAUUACUGGAGAUGCCUGUGAUCAAACCUUAUGAUCUUAUGAUUAGUGGGAGAGAUAUAGCUGGUUUGCUAUCUUUAGCAAACUUUAGUAGGGCUAGAGAAUAGAUUUACAUUUUUAAGCGAUUAAUGAAUAUUAGACUAAAUCUUGAAAGUAAUGAGUAAUUACAUUAGAAUGCAUGUAUUUUUGACAGUUCAAUUUUAAACACAACUGCACACAUUUUAUCAUCUUUGAGGCACAAUUCCACCUGGUGGAACAUGUUGAACUAGCAUCUCAUCUUGCUGUCCUUGUGCACUUUGCUCUCAACUCUCCAUGAUUUGACGGCUGUGUUUGAAGUGCCAACAAUCUCCCCACAUUUAGCCAGAACGUUUUCAAACCGCGGUCAUUUAGGGACACAGUGGUGGUCCUGAGCAGAGUAACAUAGCAGUACUUUAAGUGGUCCGUUUGCCACUCACCCCCCUUCUGUUUGACACAUGGAGUAAUUCCUUUGCAUGUUCACACCUCUUUUGUUUUACUUCCAAUGCAAAAAGCUCUCUCCAUCUUGAUGUAACUGACUGCAGCGAGCGGUCGUUUAGUUUCCGCGGUCAACUUCCGGGACCGUAAGUAAACAAACUAAAAUAUUAUAUUUUGUUGAAUUAAUCUAGUCCACAUUGAACACAUAGAUUAACACAUUUAUGUUGACAGCCCUAAUCUAGUUAUGGCAGUCAAGUUAUGAUUCACAAUUUAUUCAGAAUGUCUUCCUUGUUAACUUAAAAAUCACUUAUUUUUGGUUAACAAAACCGUCAUGUUACCCUGUCAGGUUCUGGUUAAUGUUGCUGACUAAGUGCCAGCAGGCCUGCCGGACCUCUGGUGGUAUUGCUGGUACUUAAUGUCCCUCUGAGUACUAACCUGCCGCUCCAUUCCCUCCACUCACACACACAGUUCUGUCAUUAUCAUCUCCACACACCCACAGCAGGCUCAACUCCAGGUAAUGCAUCCUUACCCCCUUUGCUCCAUGCUACCCUUUUAGAACCCUCUUCCCUGCUUUAAACAUUAAUGUCAGGUCUUUACCUCCUUUAUCUGAACAUAACACUGCCAAUUUCUUUCAGUUGGAGUCUAAACUUGACCAGUCUCUCAGCAAUCAUUACGUUCUCCUAAUCUGGUCUGUCCUUUUUUGUUCCUCUUCUUUCACCUUCUCAACUAAAUGUUCACUGGACUCUUAAUAGCCAUCCCUUAAGCAAAGUUAUUAUCACAGAAUCCUCUUUUUCCACAAGUUUGCAAAUGCUUCUCCACAGUAUAGAAGUUUCUCUUCUAUGGUGUCGCUACAAAUCCCCUCCCCCGUUAUGUUUUACGUGAGGUCCCAGCUGACCAUUCACAAACAACCUUUGUCCUUUGCAAAAGGUUACGCUGUGGGCCCCAGUUUAGAACUGUUUAACACACAGUUCAACUUAUCUUGCACGGGCCAAGUUUGAAGACUUGGGAGGGGAUGGGGCAAGCAAGGUUACAAUAUCGUUCAAUCGUUAGUGUUUGGCAAAUUUUAUGGAAAGUUUUAACAACCAAUCAAUUAGGAUCUUCCCAACCAGGUGCAGACCCCUAUGUAUUGUGCAGCACAUCCCGCUGCCUAGGUAUGCUACACUCACUUCAAUAUGCAGGAUAGAAGCGGCAGCGCCCCCAUUGUAGUGGGCUCCGCCUGCAAAAUUCUCUGCAGCCAAAUAUGCCUGAAUACACAGAGAAAGGGCGUUUACGGUUUGCUUCCUCAGGAGGCUGAUAGGUAACCGGAGGCAGUGACAGAAUAUUGGUGGCUGGCGCGGGAAACACAGCGGCGCUGAGACCUCCGGCUCGCGCUCAUCGCAGAGUAGAGUCAACCAACCGCUGCUGCCAAUGAAUUUUGGAAAUGAGCUUGGGAGGCCGUGCCGACUGCUGCCUGCAUGUUCAUUGCCAAGGCUGUUCAAAGGGAAGCAUUGGCGAGAUCCCCCCUGGGAAAAGGUUGCCAAGACGGGCCCUAACAGGAUACCUCAAUCAACUAAUCAAUCGGUUGAAAUAGGCAGUAAGUGGGCCAAUAGCAGAAAAGGAUAGCUCAGAGUGUGUGUAAACUUUUACGGCUAUCUUAUUUUUCUUCUCGGUCUCCUCUGCCUUUAAUGAUUUAAUGUCAUAGUAAACCGUAAAGAGACAAUAGCCUCUGGAUUUAAACAUGUGGGUCAACCAUCUUCAUUUCAAUGCAGAGCCAAAUACAUAUUCUGUAUACAGACCAAACUGUAAAUCAGUUAACGGGUGAGUAAUCUCACUCUUACCCUUACAUUAAGAAGCUUAUGGCUGCCGGAGACCUGUUGCCGGGACCCCGGAAUUCAGCAGCCUGUCUCCCGUCGCCGGAAUCCCGUGCCCGGUUCCUGACUGCUGUCCCGGCUGACUACCGGGGAUUCCCCGGCCACCCCCCAGAAGUUCCGCUGACUGCCCAACCUUCGUCCCCUGGUCCUGUCCCUCUCACCCCUCUGUUUGUUCUCUGCCUGUCCCACCCGCCCAUGUGUGCCGUCUGGGAUACGUGUUUCGUGUUAUUUUGUAGUUUCCUGCCUCUCGUCUGGUUUUGCUUCACUUUCUUUAAGCCAUGUGUGUCUUUUGUCCCUUGUCGAGUCAUUGAAUGUUGUACCACGUUUGAGGUCCUGGUCCCCGUCUAUGUUGGCCGUUUGCCCCUAGGUACUUUGAAUUUGGAAUUGAGAAUAAUGUACUUUUUGGUUGCAAAUCUGCGAUUGAGUCCUGCCUCCCCUGACAUGACAAGCGGUACUAGAAGAUUUUCACGGUGGCGUUAUCAUUUCACCAUCUUGGAAGAACAUUUUGUGUUUAAUGAUGGAGUGACUUACUCGAAAUGAUGCUUCACGGCAUGCUCUCAUACUCAUGAUAUAAAGUUUAAUAACUGUAAACUUUGUAGGCAUGUGACGCAUGUAAACUUUUUUUGGGGGGGAUUUUCCCGUUCAUUUUUUAAUGCUUUAAAAUAACCAACUGCUCCUAAAAGAAUAUCAGAUAGACUUCAAAUUUGGUCAGUACAAUAUAAAAGCCUCAGUGAUUAAGUUAUACAAGUCUGCCACUAUGCUACAAAGUUGUUGGGAGCCUGAAAUGCCGAAUUUGUGAUAACCCAAUUAAGACUGGCAUAUCGGGUACAGCUGUCGUUCCAUAAGCAAAAGGCUGCCGGAUCGGCUCUUAGUUUGGCAUGUCUUUUUUGUGCUACUGCAUAUAUGUACUGAAACAGUUUUCCAUUUAAAUGUAUUCACUUUUGCGUGAAGCAGAACAAAUCUAGAUUGGUUUUAGUGGGGGCUUGACGGGAGAGUCACGACUUUUAUCAUAGCACGCCCAAAGGGUGAAAGCCCCAACUGCAAUGUGAACCAAAACCGAUUUGGUGCUCCUGUGCUUGAAUGUACCUAAUUGAGAUAAUAUGAAGACAUUAGGCAUCAAAUUGGCCCUUUCUAUGUAAAUGAGCCUCAUCACAGUCAGUCCAAUUCGCAAAGAGAUGCAGCGACAUAUAUAAGGCCUUUCACGCCCCGAGACCUUCCUUUGGAUUGUACCCUUGUAAGGGAAUCGCCAUUAUUUGCUACAAGAGAUUUAUUUUGUAAUGCAAUGACAGUUGUGUCAUGAAAAAUUAAAAAAGUACAUUGGUAUUUCAUCCCGUUGUUAUUCAAGAAAGUGUUCUUUCAAUUUGAGUGAAUGACUCGUGUAUUUCACUCCAGAUUUUGUCAUGAUUUUCCCUCAACAUGUCCACAUAUGCACGCACCUGUCGGGGCGGAACGGCCGUGCACAGUGAGAGUGGACGUAAAAAAACAACGGACUUUCUUGGAUGCAGGUGUGGCGC
ensembl:lncRNA